UGACACCGUAAUUAAUUAUAAUACAUUUUAGAAAACAAAACCCACGUAUGCUUGAUUUGCAAUGAACUGCGUAAUGUUAUGUACAUAAGUCAACUAAACAAAGACUAUCAAAAAGUGAGAUCUGCAUACAUUUCUAAUCUCCUUUAAGAAUCUAACAAUAACUCCUAUAAUAAUAUCCCUAAAUGUUUCAAUAACAAAAUCCAAACUGAAAAAGCCCCAAAACUCCAGCUAGGUGGUCCUAAAGAUGUCAAUCCAAUAUGAACAACCCAAACAAGCAGAUCCAAAAAAAAAAAAAAGGACUUAACUUACUGGAAAGCUGUUACCAUUCCCUGCUCAUCAUCAUCAUCACACGGCUCCAUCGUUUCUUCCGGGCAAUGAAGGAAUAAUGGGUCGGUGUGAGUGGGAUGGAAGCCCCAGCCCCACUACUGCUACAAUGCUCAGAACAUUGGAGAAAGAGCUGCUUCCCUCCUCACAGAGUCUAACUCCUCCGGUGAAAAAAAAAAAAAAAUCCACCAACUCUGAAUCUCUUAAAAAAAAAAUCUCCAAACUCAAUUUUCUCAGUGCAUGCAUGUGUACGUGUGUGUAUGUCUCAGGGUGUUCUUUUUUUCCCCCCAUUUCUAGUUUGGUGCCAAAUGUUCCAGCUUAGCAAUGCUGUGCAGCACCGCUGGUGAUGGAUUUAGUCGGGGCAUCUGGGCCAGCGGGGAUAAACUCCAUUCACACACAAACACAUGUACACACGCAUACCUACCGGAGAGACAGCACACAGAGUGUCACAGAACAGAAGGAACAAUCCUGAGAGGACCUCCCCCCACACACCGCUUCAUCAGGAAGAUCACACAGCUUGCAGAAUGUGGACAAAUGUUUGCAAAGAUGUGUGCCAACUUUAUAGGAAUCCAACCUGUACCUGGAAAGUACCCUGCAUGGAGCGCUCCUGGAUGUCCUGGAAUGCAAUCUUUAAAUUCCAGGAACGUAACCUGUACGUUUCAGGAGAGGAAGCAGUGAGUUCCAGGAAAGUAUCCAGGAAAUAAUGGAAAAUGGAGUCAGAAUUUACCCUUUUAGUUGCAUAAAAGGAAAGUAAGAAUAAUGAAAUAACCUAUGAAUUUUGGGAGAUUUACCUUUAUGUUACACAAAUGUAACCUGCAACCAUCUACCCUGCAAGUCCUGGAAUCCAAACUGAAAACCCUGAAAAGAGUAAGUUGCAGGAAAGUAAUAUGUCAGCUCCGGAAAAAUAACCUGUAGUUUCCAGAAGUGUAAUGUGGAAUUACAUGGAGGCAACCUGGAUGCUCUGGAAUGCAAUCUGUAAACUCCCGGAAAUGAACCUGUAUGUUUCGGCAAUGUAACCAUGAAGCACCUGCAAAGAUUCCUGGAUACCUGGGAAAACGCCUUGUACAUUUCAGGAACCGAGCCUACACAUUUCAACAAAUUACAAUAGAAGUACGAACGAAAGUACCCUUAUCGUCCCAACCAGUACAGGAACGGUAUGGGACGGUAGCUUGUAAAUUGCAGAUAAGUACCACAAAACACGACCAAAACAAAAAAACCUGGCUUUCAAGUUCAGUGUAAGGGAGCUCCAUUCGAAACCAAAUGAGAGGUUGUCUGGUAGGGAAACCUCCUGCUAACAACUGAGCCUUGGUGUCUAUUGAAAAGAUCUGAGUUUACAAACAGACACAAUUAUUCAAGAAGAGGCAGUAAAGAAUCUAACUUAGUACUCAAACUGUAUAAUGACUGCAAAAUGCAAGAUAACUUGACAUUUCAAGGCCAGAUAUAUUUUAUCUUUUUAUUCACCUUCGCAGCAGUAAAUAGACCCUGGCUGAUUAAUAAAUUAUAUUAUUGAUU